rnacentral:rRNA from 1 species
GAUGAGCGCUGGCGGUCUGCUUAACACAUGCAAGUCGAACGGAGUACUUCGGUACUUAGUGGCGGACGGGUGAGUAACGCGUGAGGAUCUGCCCUCAGGAGGGGGACAACGACUGGAAACGGUCGCUAAUACCCCAUAUGCCGAGAGGUGAAAUGUUUUUUCGCCUGAGGAUGAGCUCGCGUCAGAUUAGCUAGUUGGUGGGGUAACGGCCUACCAAGGCGACGAUCUGUAGCUGGUCUGAGAGGAUGAUCAGCCACACUGGGACUGAGACACGGCCCAGACUCCUACGGGAGGCAGCAGUGGGGAAUUUUCCGCAAUGGGCGAAAGCCUGACGGAGCAAGACCGCGUGAGGGAUGACGGCCUAAUGGUUGUAAACCUCUUUUCUCUGGGAAGAUAAUGACGGUACCAGAGGAAUAAGCCUCGGCUAACUCCGUGCCAGCAGCCGCGGUAAUACGGAGGAGGCAAGCGUUAUCCGGAAUUAUUGGGCGUAAAGCGUCCGUAGGUGGUUAAUCAAGUCAGCUGUUAAAGAGCGGAGCUCAACUCCGUUAGAGCGGUUGAAACUGAUUGACUAGAGUUUGGUAGGGGUCGAGGGAAUUCCCAGUGUAGCGGUGAAAUGCGUAGAUAUUGGGAAGAACACCGGUGGCGAAAGCGCUCGACUGGGCCUGAACUGACACUGAGGGACGAAAGCUAGGGGAGCGAAAGGGAUUAGAUACCCCUGUAGUCCUAGCCGUAAACGAUGGAUACUAGGUGUUGCUCGU